ACCACAGAUCAACGAGCGAAAACCACUUGCAAAGUGUUAAUGCAUAGCAAUCUUCUCAAUCAUUUCAAGUUUCAGGUCAAGGUUCAGGCACGGCCGAAAAUGAUGAUGGUUAUGAAAAAUAUCUUAUUGGAAUUAUAGUAUUAGCAAUUCUACUGGUCAGUUCAUUCGUUGUUACUGCUUAUUUUAUCUAUCAAAAUCGUCGACUCAAAUUAUCAAACACUAAAGCAAACGUGGUAACCACUAAUGAUGAAAUUCAUUCAAGACACAUUUAUGAUAUUCCUUUCAACAAUUGUGAACAAGUAGAUGAUGAACAGUCGACGUAUACAGCUCUCAAAAGACCUGGUCCUGAGGAAGUAAAUGAUGAUCAUUUAUAUGGUCAUCUAAUUAAUUAAGUACUGCAAAAUGGAUACGCAAAUCAGGGAGAAACUUGGAUUUAAUCAUGUCUUAUUAAUCCAUAGUUAAAGGACAUUGUUAGUAAACAUUUAUUUUGACUCAUUUGAAAGAACUUUUAAA